GCACAAGCGGUGGAGCAUGUGGUUUAAUUCGACGCAACGCGAAGAACCUUACCAGGGCUUGACAUCCCCUGACCGCGUAUGAAAGUACGUUUUCGACCCUCGGGUGACAGGGUGACAGGUGGUGCAUGGUUGUCGUCAGCUCGUGUCGUGAGAUGUUGGGUUAAGUCCCGCAACGAGCGCAACCCUCGACCUUAGUUGCCAGCAUUCAGUUGGGCACUCUAAGGUGACUGCCGGCUAAAAGUCGGAGGAAGGUGGGGAUGACGUCAAAUCAUCAUGCCCCUUAUGACCUGGGCUACACACGUGCUACAAUGGGCGGUACAAAGGGUCGCGAACCCGCGAGGGGGAGCCAAUCCCAAAAAGCCGCUCUCAGUUCGGAUUGCAGGCUGCAACUCGCCUGCAUGAAGCCGGAAUCGCUAGUAAUCGCGGAUCAGCAUGCCGCGGUGAAUACGUUCCCGGGCCUU
rnacentral:rRNA from 1 species